rnacentral:rRNA from 1 species
CCUACGGGCGGCAGCAGUCGAGAAUCAUUCACAAUGGGGGAAACCCUGAUGGUGCGACGCCGCGUGGGGGAAUGAAGGUCUUCGGAUUGUAAACCCCUGUCAUGUGGGAGCAAAUUAAAAAGAUAGUACCCCAAGAGGAAGAGACGGCUAACUCUGUGCCAGCCGCCGCGGUAAUACAGAGGUCUCAAGCGUUGUUCGGAAUCACUGGGCGUAAAGCGUGCGUAGGCUGUUUCGUAAGUCGUGUGUGAAAGGCGCGGGCUCAACCCGCGGACGGCACAUGAUACUGCGAGACUAGAGUAAUGGAGGGGGAACCGGAAUUCUCGGUGUAGCAGUGAAAUGCGUAGAGAUCGAGAGGAACACUCGUGGCGAAGGCGGGUUCCUGGACAUUAACUGACGCUGAGGCACGAAGGCCAGGGGAGCGAAAGGGAUUAGAUACCCCAGUAGUC